CUCCUCUCAAAAAUUCUCCUGAAAAAAGAAAUCUGAGACUUUAUCAAGUGCCAACAAUGUCAGCAUAAACAAGAAAAGCCUAAAACAGCCAUGUGAAAUUUAUGACUACUGUUGCUGUAAAAUGAUAAGGUAUACUAUUUACAUCAGUUAUUCGUGGUUUUUUUUAUCUUGGUGCUAAAUACCUAGUAAUUGUCUGGUAG
rnacentral:lncRNA from 1 species